rnacentral:SRP_RNA from 1 species
AUCGGGGCCUUGCGCGGCGGGAAACUCCGAACCGUGUCAGGCCUGAGAGGGAGCAGCACUAAGGUGUCCACCCGGGUGCCGUGAGUCACCCCGGUUUG